rnacentral:rRNA from 1 species
GGGUUGUGAGGUUAAGCGACUAAGCGUACACGGUGGAUGCCCUGGCAGUCAGAGGCGAUGAAGGACGUGCUAAUCUGCGAUAAGCGUCGGUAAGGUGAUAUGAACCGUUAUAACCGGCGAUUUCCGAAUGGGGAAACCCAGUGUGUUUCGACACACUAUCAUUAACUGAAUCCAUAGGUUAAUGAGGCGAACCGGGGGAACUGAAACAUCUAAGUACCCCGAGGAAAAGAAAUCAACCGAGAUUCCCCCAGUAGCGGCGAGCGAACGGGGAGCAGCCCAGAGCCUGAAUCAGUGUGUGUGUUAGUGGAAGCGUCUGGAAAGGCGCGCGAUACAGGGUGACAGCCCCGUACACAAAAAUGCACAUGCUGUGAGCUCGAUGAGUAGGGCGGGACACGUGGUAUCCUGUCUGAAUAUGGGGGGACCAUCCUCCAAGGCUAAAUACUCCUGACUGACCGAUAGUGAACCAGUACCGUGAGGGAAAGGCGAAAAGAACCCCGGCGAGGGGAGUGAAAAAGAACCUGAAACCGUGUACGUACAAGCAGUGGGAGCACGCUUAGGCGUGUGACUGCGUACCUUUUGUAUAAUGGGUCAGCGACUUAUAUUCUGUAGCAAGGUUAACCGAAUAGGGGAGCCGAAGGGAAACCGAGUCUUAACUGGGCGUUAAGUUGCAGGGUAUAGACCCGAAACCCGGUGAUCUAGCCAUGGGCAGGUUGAAGGUUGGGUAACACUAACUGGAGGACCGAACCGACUAAUGUUGAAAAAUUAGCGGAUGACUUGUGGCUGGGGGUGAAAGGCCAAUCAAACCGGGAGAUAGCUGGUUCUCCCCGAAAGCUAUUUAGGUAGCGCCUCGUGAAUUCAUCUCCGGGGGUAGAGCACUGUUUCGGCAAGGGGGUCAUCCCGACUUACCAACCCGAUGCAAACUGCGAAUACCGGAGAAUGUUAUCACGGGAGACACACGGCGGGUGCUAACGUCCGUCGUGAAGAGGGAAACAACCCAGACCGCCAGCUAAGGUCCCAAAGUCAUGGUUAAGUGGGAAACGAUGUGGGAAGGCCCAGACAGCCAGGAUGUUGGCUUAGAAGCAGCCAUCAUUUAAAGAAAGCGUAAUAGCUCACUGGUCGAGUCGGCCUGCGCGGAAGAUGUAACGGGGCUAAACCAUGCACCGAAGCUGCGGCAGCGACGCUUAUGCGUUGUUGGGUAGGGGAGCGUUCUGUAAGCCUGCGAAGGUGUGCUGUGAGGCAUGCUGGAGGUAUCAGAAGUGCGAAUGCUGACAUAAGUAACGAUAAAGCGGGUGAAAAGCCCGCUCGCCGGAAGACCAAGGGUUCCUGUCCAACGUUAAUCGGGGCAGGGUGAGUCGACCCCUAAGGCGAGGCCGAAAGGCGUAGUCGAUGGGAAACAGGUUAAUAUUCCUGUACUUGGUGUUACUGCGAAGGGGGGACGGAGAAGGCUAUGUUGGCCGGGCGACGGUUGUCCCGGUUUAAGCGUGUAGGCUGGUUUUCCAGGCAAAUCCGGAAAACUAAGGCUGAGGCGUGAUGACGAGGCACUACGGUGCUGAAGCAACAAAUGCCCUGCUUCCAGGAAAAGCCUCUAAGCAUCAGGUAACAUCAAAUCGUACCCCAAACCGACACAGGUGGUCAGGUAGAGAAUACCAAGGCGCUUGAGAGAACUCGGGUGAAGGAACUAGGCAAAAUGGUGCCGUAACUUCGGGAGAAGGCACGCUGAUAUGUAGGUGAAGUCCCUCGCGGAUGGAGCUGAAAUCAGUCGAAGAUACCAGCUGGCUGCAACUGUUUAUUAAAAACACAGCACUGUGCAAACACGAAAGUGGACGUAUACGGUGUGACGCCUGCCCGGUGCCGGAAGGUUAAUUGAUGGGGUCAGCGCAAGCGAAGCUCUUGAUCGAAGCCCCGGUAAACGGCGGCCGUAACUAUAACGGUCCUAAGGUAGCGAAAUUCCUUGUCGGGUAAGUUCCGACCUGCACGAAUGGCGUAAUGAUGGCCAGGCUGUCUCCACCCGAGACUCAGUGAAAUUGAACUCGCUGUGAAGAUGCAGUGUACCCGCGGCAAGACGGAAAGACCCCGUGAACCUUUACUAUAGCUUGACACUGAACAUUGAGCCUUGAUGUGUAGGAUAGGUGGGAGGCUUUGAAGUGUGGACGCCAGUCUGCAUGGAGCCGACCUUGAAAUACCACCCUUUAAUGUUUGAUGUUCUAACGUUGACCCGUAAUCCGGGUUGCGGACAGUGUCUGGUGGGUAGUUUGACUGGGGCGGUCUCCUCCUAAAGAGUAACGGAGGAGCACGAAGGUUGGCUAAUCCUGGUCGGACAUCAGGAGGUUAGUGCAAUGGCAUAAGCCAGCUUGACUGCGAGCGUGACGGCGCGAGCAGGUGCGAAAGCAGGUCAUAGUGAUCCGGUGGUUCUGAAUGGAAGGGCCAUCGCUCAACGGAUAAAAGGUACUCCGGGGAUAACAGGCUGAUACCGCCCAAGAGUUCAUAUCGACGGCGGUGUUUGGCACCUCGAUGUCGGCUCAUCACAUCCUGGGGCUGAAGUAGGUCCCAAGGGUAUGGCUGUUCGCCAUUUAAAGUGGUACGCGAGCUGGGUUUAGAACGUCGUGAGACAGUUCGGUCCCUAUCUGCCGUGGGCGCUGGAGAAUUGAGGGGGGCUGCUCCUAGUACGAGAGGACCGGAGUGGACGCAUCACUGGUGUUCGGGUUGUCAUGCCAAUGGCACUGCCCGGUAGCUAAAUGCGGAAGAGAUAAGUGCUGAAAGCAUCUAAGCACGAAACUUGCCCCGAGAUGAGUUCUCCCUGACUCCUUGAGAGUCCUGAAGGAACGUUGAAGACGACGACGUUGAUAGGCCGGAUGUGUAAGCGCAGCGAUGCGUUGAGCUAACCGGUACUAAUGAACCGUGAGGCUUAACCUUACAACGCCGAAG